rnacentral:rRNA from 1 species
UACAGAGGUCUCAAGCGUUGUUCGGAUUCAUUGGGCGUAAAGGGUGCGUAGGCGGCGCGGUAAGUCGGAUGUGAAAUCUUGGAGCUUAACUCCGAAACUGCAUUCGAUACUGCCGUGCUUGAGGACUGGAGAGGAGACUGGAAUUUACGGUGUAGCAGUGAAAUGCGUAGAUAUCGUAAGGAAGACCAGUGGCGAAGGCGGGUCUCUAGACAGUUCCUGACGCUGAGGCACGAAGGCCAGGGGAGCAAACGGG